AUACGGGGGAUUCAAGCGUUAUCCGGACUUAUUGGGUUUAAAGGGUGCGUAGGCUGAUAAAUCAGUCAGCGGUGAAAUUUACGGGCUUAACUUGUAGCUUGCCGUUGAAACUAUUUAUCUAGAGAUAUUUCGGCGUAAGCGGAAUGUAUCAAGUAGCGGUGAAAUGCAUAGAUAUGCUACAGAACACCAAUCGCGAAGGCAGCAUACGAGGCAUCAUCUGACGCUGAUGCACGAAAGCGUGGGGAUCAAACAGGAUUAGAUACCCUGGUAGUCCACGCAGUAAACGAUGAUUACUCGCUGUUUGCGAUACACAGCAAGCGGCUUAGCGAAAGCGUUAAGUAAUCCACCUGGGGAGUACGUUCGCAAGAAUGAAACUCAAAUGAAUUGGCGGGG
rnacentral:rRNA from 1 species